AUGCUCGCUUCGGCAGCACAUAUACCAAACCUGGAGCGAAACAGAGAAGAUGAGCAUGGCCCCUGUGCAAGAAUGGCAUGCAAAUUCAUGAAGCGUUCCAUAUCUUU